UUAAAUAAAUAAAUAAACCAGUAAAAAUAGCAGCAUCCGACAGUAGGUACGAUGUCUGCUUUUUUUUUAGUUUUGUCGGCUUCGAAGAUAGACAACGCAUGAUCAUAUUCAGAAUGACCAUUUUAUUUUACGAAAACUCUAUUAUACAUCCACUGUUUACUGCACUCAGUGACACACAUGACGUGUCCGAGCCCCACCCCCUCCCCCCAAACGCACGCUUUCGGUUUCAUUUUGAAACCUCUCCCAACAAACGCACGUUUUCGUCUUCGUUCCUCUCUCCCCCAAUCCUCCCGCGUCGUUUCCCCGAGCCCCCCAAACGCGAGAUUGCCCUUCGUCUUCCAUAUUCGCUCUCAAGAACCCGAGCUCCCCACACGCGAUUGCCCUUCGUCUUCAACAUUCGCUCUCACCCAACCCCCCGCAUUGCGCGUUGCGUCCCCCCCACCCCCGAGACUCCUCUGCCCUAAGGGAGGCCCUGCGCAUUGCGUCCCCCCCACCCCCGAGCCUCCUCCCCCGAAGGCCGAGCUCCUCGCAGGUUUCUUCUUCUUCUCUCUCUCUCUGUUCGACACACUCAGAUUGAAGCCGUCAAUCCACCGAAGCCCAGAGCUGCGGGAGGGGUAAUGUAUAGUUUCUUCUAAAUAAUCUUCCUGAACCAUUUUCAUCCAUUUUCAUGUAUUACGUUUUUUUCCUCUCUGAUUCUAGGGUUUAGUCAUACAUUUAUUUUUUUUCUCUGUAUUUACAGCAUCUUUUUUCCUCUAGGGUUUAGUUACAUGUUCUGUAUGUUAAUAGUAUUUUUCUAGAGAUUAAUGGUAUCUGGAUGAUGCAUAGCUAGUAUUAGGUAGAGAUUGGAGGUUGCAUUCUAUCGUGGCUAGUUUCAGUUUAUUAAUGAAGGUGGAAAUAGCUGAUUUUGGUUCUUAAUUUCAAACAAAAUCAGCUUCACAGUGGGAAAGGCCCACCAUCAACUUCUGUAAUAGCCUAAGUUUAAUUUCCUGGUUUUGCUUUGACAUUGAAAGCACGUUAGUAAGACUUUUUUGGUCUUUGAGAGGGUUAGGUGAGCCUCCCUUCGCUUUACGGUUCAUAUUUCUUAUUCAUAUCUUGGGAGAGACAAUGAUGAGACAAUGAUGAUCAUUGCACCUUUCUGACUUUUCUUCUUUUAUCUCCAUGUAUAAGUGAAAGCAUUAUCACUAUAAAAUUGAAUUUCUUAAAUUCGGUCAGUGGUCCUCCAAACUUUAGAAAAAAAAUAAAAAGCUUCUUGUGUGUGUGUCAAGGGAAACAAAGUAGCUGAGAGCUUUGCAAGGGUUCGAGAGUCAUCAAAACAAGACAAGCUUCUUGAGUUUCUGGUGCAAGGGAGAUGUUUUUGCCUAUUAUAUUAGCUCUCUGGUUAGGACUAGCUUUGGCUUUUCUUCUCCUACACUUUUUUGGGAAACAAAACUUCCAAACUUACCUCCUAGUAGCAUGAGAUGGCCCGUUUUGGGGGAGACUAUUGGCUUCCAAUAUUUCCAACUCUCAUUAGAAUAAAAUGCAUGUUCUCUUCACUUACCUAGGUUGGGUUUGAUUACUUUGAAAUAGACCAUGCAUGUGGUUAUACUUUAUUGACACUAGUUAAUAGAAAAUUAGACUAUGGCUUUCUAUUAGUGUAGUUAAACCCCUUACUGAAGAAAAAAAAAAUAUUACCAUCUCCAAGGUUUGACUAGCCAUGUAAUUUUCUGCUAUUGCAGUGAAAGCAAUCUAGAAAUGAAAUAUGAGUAAAACUCUUUAAAUGCAUGUCUAUUUAGACUCACCUUUCUUUGCUUGUCUUGUGAUUGUUCUUUUCCUGAAACUUUCUUUUUUCUCCAUUACUCAAAAUUAAUUUUCGCUUGUGGUUGGAGGCUUACAUCACUACUUGUUCUUCUCUACUUGUACUUGUAUAUAGAACCAUACAAAUAAAUAAUAAUAAACAGCCAAUCAUGUUGCAAUUAACUAGACUUUCCAAGCUGAAAACUGAUCCCUGCAACUUGAAUAUCCAAAUCUGUAUUCUUUUUGGCAUCUUUAUCCAUUGGGAACAGUAAUGUGUACUUAGAUAUACAUUUACCAUGAACUAACUACAUCAUUAAUUAUUUUAAGUUUAUAAGUAUUGUAUCCUUGAAUGGAAGUGUGGUUAUUGUCAUAAACAUGAUAAUGAGCUGCUAGUGUUGGGUUACUUGAAAUCAAGUUAUGUUACUUGAAAUUUUGUUCAUAUGAGACAGACUCUUGUGUUUGUAGUUGUCUUUCCUUUGACAGAAUCACAAUGGCAUCUUCUCAAUCAUCAUCUUUAGAUAAUGAUUUUGUGAUGGAGUCACCAACUUGUUGGUGUGGUUUGAAAACGCCACUAAAGACGUCCUACACUAAGAAAAAUCCUGGAAGGAGAUUUUUUGCCUGCCCCAAAUAUAAUACGGGAGAUGCGAGGUGUGAAUUCUUUGUAUGGGCGAAUAUUUUUCAGUUGUUAGUGGAGAACAUGUUAUUAAAACAUAACUUGCGGCGUAAUACAUGGGAUGAUGUAUUACGCCGCGAGUAUGCCGUUCGGAAAAGGGAAGAAAAAGUGAGAGAGAUAGCGAAGAAUCUGAAAAAGGAAAAGCGAAAGUUAUUGUGUUUGUACUGGAUUAUCACAUUUGUAAUAUUGUUUGCUUGGUUUGGAUAAAUGUAAUGUAAAAAUACACAUUGUUUGCUUCCUUUGGAUAAAUGUAACGUAAAAAUAACGUUGUGUAGAAUUAUGUAAUUUUUGAGUAGAAACAGCUUGUGGAUGAAUGGUUGAAAGUGCCCCCAAAAGUUCUGUAAUUGGGAACCUGA